GAUGAACGCUGGCGGCGUGCCUAAUACAUGCAAGUCGAGCGAACGGACGAGAAGCUUGCUUCCCUGAUGUUAGCGGCGGACGGGUGAGUAACACGUGGAUAACCUACCUAUAAGACUGGGAUAACUUCGGGAAACCGGAGCUAAUACCGGAUAAUAUUUUGAACCGCAUGGUUCAAAAGUGAAAGACGGUCUUGCUGUCACUUAUAGAUGGAUCCGCGCUGCAUUAGCUAGUUGGUAAGGUAACGGCUUACCAAGGCAACGAUGCAUAGCCGACCUGAGAGGGUGAUCGGCCACACUGGAACUGAGACACGGUCCAGACUCCUACGGGAGGCAGCAGUAGGGAAUCUUGCGCAAUGGGCGAAAGCCUGACGGAGCAACGCCGCGUGGGUGAUGAAGGUCUUCGGAUCGUAAAACUCUGUUAUUAGGGAAGAACAUAUGUGUAAGUAACUGUGCACAUCUUGACGGUACCUAAUCAGAAAGCCACGGCUAACUACGUG
rnacentral:rRNA from 1 species